rnacentral:rRNA from 1 species
GAGUUUGAUCUUGGCUCAGAACGAACGCUGAUGGCGUGCCUCAUACAUGCAAGUCGAGCGGGUAGCAAUACCAGCGGCGAACGGGUGAGUAACGCGUGAACAAUCUGCCUCAAAGUGGGGGAUAACCAUUCCAACGGAUGGCUAAUACCGCAUAGGGUUUGGAAGCGGCAUCGCUUCUUCACGAAAGCAUUUAUGCGCUUUGAGAUGAGUUCGCGUCCCAUUAGCUAGUUGGCGGGGUAACGGCCCACCAAGGCGACGAUGGGUAGCCGGCCUGAGAGGGUGUCCGGCCACAUUGGGACUGAGAUACGGCCCAGACUCCUACGGGAGGCAGCAGUAGGGAAUUUUGCGCAAUGGGGGAAACCCUGACGCAGCAACGCCAUGUGUGGGAUGAAGCAUUUCGGUGUGUAAACCACUGUCGGCAGGGAUAAAGCCCGCGUUUACGCGGGGGUGAAUGUACCUGCAGAGGAAGCCCCGGCUAACUUCGUGCCAGCAGCCGCCGUAAG